rnacentral:lncRNA from 1 species
AGCGUUGGGGAAACAUGCUCAACUUCCAGCAGUCAUUCCCGCUCGCCUCCUUUCUCUUUGCUCGAGGUCUUCGGUUCAGGCUCCACAACUGAUUGAUGCUGUUUUCCUGUUAGUGUCUCUUUUUCAUCAUGCACGAUCCUCCAUAGUGAUGGAAUGGAGACAGCUUCUCAGAGAAAGCACAGCUUUGGAAGGUAAGUGCCGUUUGGAUGGUGAGACCAUCAGAUCAAUUUAACUAGGCCAAGACUCUGAUCAAUGUUCUUAAACCUAUGUAACCCACUGCCACAGAGAUUUCAAAGUGAGGAAGGGUCCUGGACGCCCAUUCGUCCAUUCUCAAUGAAUUAUUCAUUUGACCAGCACUUUCUGACUUUCUAGCUUCAGCCAGACACCGUACAAGGGACAGGGGAGACUGAGAUGAAGAAAACUCGGUGCUUCUUCCCAAGGCACUCGCAGUCUCGGAGAAGACAGAUGUGUACUCACACAGAUGCAUAUGCUACAGCACUGUGUGAUGAUGCUAUACAUGCACAAAGUGACCAGGAACAGAGCGGCCAUCCCUGGCGACUCA